rnacentral:rRNA from 1 species
AUUGAACGCUGGCGGCAGGCCUAACACAUGCAAGUCGAGCGAGCGGCGGACGGGUGAGUAAUGUAUGGGGAUCUGCCCUAUGGAGGGGGAUAACUACUGGAAACGGUGGCUAAUACCGCAUACUAUCGGAUGACCCCAUAUGGGAUUAGUUAGUAGGUGGGGUAAAGGCUAACCUAGGCGACUAGCUCUAGCUGGUCUGAGAGGAUGACCAGCCACACUGGGACUGAGACACGGCCCAGACUCCUACGGGAGGCAGCAGUGGGGAAUAGUGCACAAUGGGCGCAAGCCUGAUGCAGCUAUGCCGCGUGUAUGAAGAAGGCCUUAGGGUUGUAAAGUACUUUCAGCGGGGAGGCGUUACCCGCAGAAGAAGCACCGGCUAACUCCGUGCCAGCAGCCGCGGUAAUAC